CCUACGGGAGGCUGCAGUGAGGAAUAUUGGUCAAUGGACGAGAGUCUGAACCAGCCAAGUAGCGUGAAGGAUGACUGCCCUAUGGGUUGUAAACUUCUUUUAUAUGGGAAUAAAAUGUUCCACGUGUGGGUUUUUGUAUGUACCAUAUGAAUAAGGAUCGGCUAACUCCGUGCCAGCAGCCGCGGUAAUACGGUGGUUCCGAGCGUUAUCCGGAUUUAUUGGGUUUAAAGGGAGCGUAGGUGGAUUGUUAAGUCAGUUGUGAAAGUUUGCGGCUCAACCGUAAAAUUGCAGUUGAAACUGGCAGUCUUGAGUACAGUAGAGGUGGGCGGAAUUCGUGGUGUAGCGGUGAAAUGCUUAGAUAUCACGAAGAACUCCGAUUGCGAAGGCAGCUCACUGGACUGCAACUGACACUGAGGCUCGAAAGUGUGGGUAUCAAACAGGAUUAGAUACCCCAGUAGUC
rnacentral:rRNA from 1 species